AGAUAAAAAGGUUAAUUCUAGCAAUUCUAUAAUUAUUAUUUUAAUACGUGAUUUAUAUAACUUUAAAAUAGGGUAAUUAAAGAUUCAUUCCAUGUAUUUUGUUUCUAGAGUGAACUUUUCAACUCGCAAUUGUGUUUUUCUCAUCAGCAAAGUUUAUAUUUUAAUAAAACUAUAUCUAAAGACAUACUAUUUCAUAAUCAUCAUCAACAAACCUUAAUAUUUGAAAUAACUUGCAAUUUUUAACUACGGAACAGAUUAUCAUUAGUAAGACAAUUAAAGGAACUCCAGAAUUAUGUCCCUUGUUUAGGUUCGUUUAUAAAUUUCAAUUCCAACACGAAAUCUUUAAUCAAUGAAUUGAAAUUGUAUUUAUUUAGUAUUAAAAUAUGGAAAAAAAAUACUUAAAGUUUUUAGAGAACCAAACGUUUUUAAUUAUACAUUCUAAAGGUGUCUAUAUAAUGAGUUCUAUAAAAUACAAUUUAGCUUAAACGUUAAUUUGUAUAGAAGGAAGGCUGCUUCAUACACCAGUAAACAACGAAAAUUAAGUGAUCAUGACUUUAUGCUGCUGAAAAAGAUAAGACUGAUAUGAUUGAGAAUGAAGUCACUAAAGUUGAAAUGUCUAUGUUGCAUAUGGGAGAUGCAUGGACACAGAAGAUUAGGCAGGAAUGAAGAAAGUACAUCCUGAAGAUGCCAGUAUCUGAGUCGCAGACAUUGAGCCAGUAGUAAUUAAUCACCAUUCAAUGACAAUAGCAACAUCAGCUACAGAAAAAGCAAGAAACCAAUACUCAGCAUCAAGUGCUAGAAUGUUUGGAUGAUGACAAACUUAUGAAAAAAAACCUUCAAGUCAUCCAUGACAUUCACAACAAACACACACACAUGCACACAUACACACACACACAUGAACAAGUCUCACCUAGUAUUGCAAAUCCAACAAGACCAUCAAGGUAAUGGAAAACAUUUCCAUGUAUCACACAAUCCUCAGUCUUUCAUACGUUCCAAAAUGCAGCUGGUCUCUUACCAAAAAGCUCCUGAUCAAUGUCAUAUAAUUUUCUUUUCUUCCACCUGUCACCCAUGGUGACUCUGUAAGACAUACUCAUGUGGAAAAAAGCCUCUAUAUUUGCCUUUUGAUUCACACUGAGCUCAAGCCUGUCGCCAGACUUUGGUGCUUGAGGGUGCUUCAGAAUAUUCUGGUUGGGUACUAAUUUGUAAUAACGCUAAAGUGGUGUUUCCAAAAUAAGUGUAUCAGUGUAAAUUAGAGUGUGUACCAUUUAAUAGUGAAGGGGCAUUACUCACACAACACACUGCUAAGCUAGUCCCUAUCCACACCAAACUCUCUCUCUGUCUCUCUCUCUCUACAUUAGAAUCAUUAGAAACAAGCUACAUUGAAUCCCAUUCCCAAGAAUGACAACCUUCUGCUCCCGCAGAUGAUAGUUUAUGAAUUUGUUUUGCAAGAUUCCUGAUAUGAAAUUGUGUGUUGAAACAGAUAUUGUUAUAUUUCAGGUUGGUAAUUUUUUUUUUUUUUUUUCAAACCAAAUAAACACAUGGACUGUACAUUCGUUCUUCAUUCAUUUAUCAUUGUUCUUAUUUUAUCUUACAUCCAUUGUCUGGAAAUAUUUCAUCACACAUCUGUGACCUCUUCGGCGACUCUUCCGUCCUACAUGUAUCCUCCUGUUCCAAUUAGUCUAUUCUGUCUUUCUAUGAUGUGUAUCGCACUACUCUCUCACACACACACAGGUAAGAAUACACAUUAUAAAAAGACAGAAUGGACAAAACAGAACAGGAGGAUAUGCAUGGGAUGGAAGA